rnacentral:RNase_P_RNA from 1 species
GAUGGCAGAUGGUCGCUGGCGGGAAGAAAUUGCCGCUAGAGGAAAGUCCGAACACCAUACGGCAGCAUGCCGCGUAGAAGACGCGGAGGUCGCGCUCGUAAGCGCGCGAUCAUGGAAAGUGUCGCAGAAAAUAUACCGCCAGCCGGCAGCGAUGUCGGCGGGUAAGGUUGAAAAGGCGAGGUAAGAGCUCACCGCGCGCGAAGUGAUUUGCGCGGCAGGAAAAACCCCAUGCGGUGCAAGACAAAACAGAGGGAGGGCAGCCGGUCCGUGUUCCCUCGGGUAUCGUCGCAUUACGCUUCCGCCCCCCAGCGAAAGCGGGCGGCUCACGCGAGUGGGCUGAGAUAAAUGAUCAUCCCGGUUGAGCGAUCAGCCGGACAGAAUUCGGCUUAUCGCCGUCAUUA